CCAGACUCCUACGGGAGGCAGCAGUCGGGAAUAUUGCGCAAUGGAGGAAACUCUGACGCAGUGACGCCGCGUAUAGGAAGAAGGUUUUCGGAUUGUAAACUAUUGUCGUGAGGGAAGAAGAUGACAGUACCUCAGGAGGAAGCUCCGGCUAACUAUGUGCCAGCAGCCGCGGUAAUACAUAGGGAGCAAGCGUUAUCCGGAAUUAUUGGGUGUAAAGGGUGCGUAGGCGGACGCUUAAGUCAGCGGUAAAAUUGCGGGGCUCAACCUCGUCGAGCCGUUGAAACUGGGUGCCUUGAGUGGGCGAGAAGUACGCGGAAUGCGUGGUGUAGCGGUGAAAUGCAUAGAUAUCACGCAGAACUCCGAUUGCGAAGGCAGCGUACCGGCGCCCAACUGACGCUGAAGCACGAAGGCGUGGGUAUCGAACAGGAUUAGAUACCCCCGUAAC
rnacentral:rRNA from 1 species